AACGAACGCUGGCGGCAGGCCUAACACAUGCAAGUCGAGCGGAUGACGGGAGCUUGCUCCUUGAUUCAGCGGCGGACGGGUGAGUAAUGCCUAGGAAUCUGCCUGGUAGUGGGGGACAACGUUUCGAAAGGAACGCUAAUACCGCAUACGUCCUACGGGAGAAAGCAGGGGACCUUCGGGCCUUGCGCUAUCAGAUGAGCCCAGGUCGGAUUAGCUAGUAGGUGAGGUAAUGGCUCACCUAGGCGACGAUCCGUAACUGGUCUGAGAGGAUGAUCAGUCACACUGGAACUGAGACACGGUCCAGACUCCUACGGGAGGCAGCAGUGGGGAAUAUUGGACAAUGGGCGAAAGCCUGAUCCAGCCAUGCCGCGUGUGUGAAGAAGGUCUUCGGAUUGUAAAGCACUUUAAGUUGGGAGGAAGGGCAGUAAGUUAAUACCUUGCUGUUUUGACGUUACCAACAGAAUAAGCACCGGCUAACUUCGUGCCAGCCGCCGCGGUAA
rnacentral:rRNA from 1 species